UGCCAGCAGCCGCGGUAAUACGAAGGGGGCUAGCGUUGUUCGGAAUUACUGGGCGUAAAGCGCACGUAGGCGGAUUAGUAAGUUAGGGGUGAAAUCCCGGGGCUCAACCCCGGAACUGCCUCUAAUACUGCUAGUCUUGAGUUCGAGAGAGGUGAGUGGAAUUCCGAGUGUAGAGGUGAAAUUCGUAGAUAUUCGGAGGAACACCAGUGGCGAAGGCGGCUCACUGGCUCGAUACUGACGCUGAGGUGCGAAGGCGUGGGUAGCGAACGGGAUUAGAUA
rnacentral:rRNA from 1 species